AGUGAACGCUGGCGGUAGGCCUAACACAUGCAAGUCGAACGGCAGCACAGUAAGAGCUUGCUCUUACGGGUGGCGAGUGGCGGACGGGUGAGGUAUACAUCGGAAUCUACUUUUUCGUGGGGGAUAACGUCGGGAAACUUACGCUAAUACAGCAUACGACCUACGGGUGAAAGCACGGGAUCUUCGGACCUUGCGCGAUUGAAUGAGCCGAUCUCGGGUUAGCUAGUUGGCGGGGUAAAGGGCUACCAAGGCCACGCUCCGUACCUGGUAUGAGCGGAUGAACAGCCAGACUGGAACUGAGGCACGGCACAGACUCCGACGGGAGGCAGCAGUCGGGAAUAUUGGACAAUGGAGGCAAGGCUGAUCCAGCCAUACCGCGUGGGUGAAGAAGGACUUCGGGUUGUAAAGCCCUGUUGGUGGGAAAGAAAUACAGCAGGUUAAUACCCCGCGGUUAUGACGGUACCCGAAGAAUAAGCACCGGCUAACUUCGUG
rnacentral:rRNA from 1 species